CUGCUGUGCUGCUGCAGCUCUCCCAGCCACCUCUGCUCAGUGCUUUCUUUCACAAGAGAAGUGUAACUAGAAAACUGCUCAGCCAGAAUCCUCCACCAUCCAGGCACAAGAAAACUGAGUUUUCAAGAAGGUUAAUCUGGAGGCUCAACAAAGAAAACACUGACAGCAGAGAAGAGCUAACAUGAAAAGGAGGCGGCUCAGAGUAGUGCCUAAAGACUGCAUCAACUGGGAAAUUAUUUCAAAACACCUGAUGUAAUUGGAGAGCUCCCAUCAGGCUUUCAGACAAGGAUGGAUGUCAUCAAGCCAAGCCAUGGGAUCAUCACCAGCGGUUAAACUG